rnacentral:lncRNA from 1 species
CUAAACCCCAGGACAGGAUGAACAUCUUGCUUAUCUGGGUUUUCAGAGCUCUUGCAGGAGGGGAGUUUUCCCCACCAUCAACUCAAGAGACAAGGCAGCAGCCACCUUGCCUCAGACCAGCUCAACUCAACAUGACCCAGUAUGCCAGAGCCACCACCUGCCACCAAGACACUGUCCUCUGCCAUGGAGGGUGGAUGUUCUUUUACAACCUAACUUUUGCAACCCUCAUGACAAGUUAUUGUCUGGAUUUGCUUCUCUUCCACAAUAUCCGGUGUUUCCACUGCAGUGUCUGCUUUGAAGUCACAGGCCAGACUUUCUAGCAAGUACCCUGCCACUUCCAAAC